GUUCUUAUAGUGUAAAAAACACAUUACAUUUUCAUUGUAAAACUAAAGGUUUUUGAACCCUUUUAACAACA
rnacentral:tRNA from 1 species